rnacentral:lncRNA from 1 species
GUGAUAAGAGAGCUGACAAUCACCAGGUUACCUUUUACUCUCCUAGUCAAGGCAAGAGCAAAAGCCAUCUGCAGAUGUCAUAUGUGUGGAAUGCUACGCAGAGUUUCCACUGCCUUCUGAGGUGGAGCAAGGUAAGUAGUAAUACCUCGGUCCAUGAAAGUGUCUGAAAUCUGCAUC